rnacentral:lncRNA from 1 species
UCUUCUCCAGCUAGUACUUCCAGAUCUUUAAAUAACUCUUUUCCCUUAUUUUUCUACCAGGUUCCAAAGCACAGAUGAGAAGAACCAAAGCUGAAGUUAAGCAAUCUGAUGGCCAUCCCAGCAGAACAAAAAGCCCAAGCAAGAAGAGCAGCAGGCAGAGGGAGAAGCAAGCUCUCUGCUGAGCAAGGAACUCUAUCCCAGGACCCUGGAAUCAUGAUCUGAGCCAAAAGCAGAUGCUUAAUCAAAUGAGCCAUUCAGCUCCCUGGUGCUAAUCUUGGUUCUCUUUGACCAGUGUACAUUACCAUCCUCAGUGCUAAUCAAUGGAUUUUUUUUGUCUGUUUAUUAUUUAUUUAAUUUCUGGGAAUGUAGUACUAAUUAUGGGAGUGUUGCUGAGGAUGAAAGGUUGAGGCGGAAGUUUACAGGAAUUGGGAAGUUAUUUUUCUCCUUUUGUUUCAAGUCACUCUGAUGAUUUAGGGCUACUUUACUGAUGAGAAUUUGGAAUGAACCAUCAUGGGCUCUUUCUCACAUUGAGAUUUUAUAGGAUUUUUAAUUGAGAAAUUGUUUCAUAAUACUAUAGAAUAUUGGAUUAGCAAA